rnacentral:rRNA from 1 species
GAGGAAUAUUGGUCAAUGGGCGCAAGCCUGAACCAGCCAUCCCGCGUGCAGGAAGACGGCCCUAUGGGUUGUAAACUGCUUUUCCAGGGGGAGAAACGUUUCGAUGUAUCGGGAUUUGACGGUACUCUGGGAAUAAGCAUCGGCUAACUCCGUGCCAGCAGCCGCGGUAAUACGGAGGAUGCGAGCGUUAUCCGGAUUUAUUGGGUUUAAAGGGUGCGUAGGCGGGCUUAUAAGUCAGUGGUGAAACCCUGCAGCUUAACUGCAGGCUUGCCGUUGAUACUGUUGGUCUUGAGUAUGGUCAAGGCAGGCGGAAUGUGUAAUGUAGCGGUGAAAUGCUUAGAUAUUACACAGAACACCGAUUGCGAAGGCAGCUUGCUGGGCCAUUACUGACGCUGAUGCACGAAAGCGUGGGGAUCGAAC